GCAGGGCUGGCCUGUCCCAUGUCGGGGCCUGGUGAAGCCCCUCUCCCACGAGGGGCUUUGGCUGGGGCCCACGGGGCCUUGUGGGGCACGGCAGGGAUCAGAGGGCAUCCCGGCAUCUGUGGAAGUCUUCAUGCAGCUUCCCCCUGGAUCUGACCACGGAUUUUAUGAUGCAGGCACGGAGUCCAGAGAAUCCUUGGAAAUGGAUUGCUCGUCUUUAAAACCAAAACACACACGUGCGGGUUAGCUCAGCACCCACAGCGGCCGGGGCCUCCCGAAACCUGACGUUCCAGAAGCCCGGGGCCUGUUGGCACAGAUAGAGGGCCUGGGCCCCGGGCCACGGUCACCCUCAUCACCAAGAAGCUGCAAAGCCAGCGCCUGGAUGACCUCGCCCACAAGAGCUAUGAUGCCGGCCCACAUUCUGCCCAGAAACUCAGCAGAAGUGGCCACUUCUUCCCUUUUGAGACUAACAGUGAGUGUUUAAAAGCCCGGGCGGGUUUUCCGGGGCUGCUGGGGGCUGGGACCGUGGGCAGGGCGGGAAGGACACGGUCGCUGGCCCGGAGGCGAGGUCGCCCUCUGCUGGCCUUCCUCCCUGGGGCAGCGGCGUGGGUGGGGCCCGGGGCUGCCGCCCCACCUUCUGGAAGCUGCCUGCAGGGCGGAGCUGAAAG
rnacentral:lncRNA from 1 species